UUCGUAGGCGGUGCGGCAAGUCGGGAGUGAAAUCUCUGGGCUUAACUCAGAGGCUGCUUCCGAAACUGCCGUGCUCGAGUGUGGGAGAGGCGCGUGGAAUUGCAGGUGUAGCGGUGAAAUGCGUAGAUAUCUGCAGGAACACCCGUGGCGAAAGCGGCGCGCUGGACCACAACUGACGCUGAGGAACGAAAGCUAGGGGAGCAAACAGGAUUAGAUACCCUGGUAGUCCUAGCCCUAAACGAUCAGGACUUGGGGUGCCUUCCGUUCGGAAGUCGUCCCGGAGCUAACGCGUUAAGUCCUGCACCUGGGGAGUACGGUCGCAAGGCUGAA
rnacentral:rRNA from 1 species